rnacentral:snoRNA from 15 species
GUGCCCUUGUAAGGUUGUUGCAGUACUUUAAGAGGUGAACACAGAAAGGCAAAACGAGUUUCCAUAAAACCCAGAGAUGAGGUCACCAUAACUCCUCUUUGGAUCCUGUCUGGAGUCACAACU